CGGGAGGUGGCGGCGUGCUAUACAUGCAAGUUGAGCGCUGAAGGUUGGUACUUGUACCGACUGGAUGAGCAGCGAACGGGUGAGUAACGCGUGGGGAAUCUGCCUUUGAGCGGGGGACAACAUUUGGAAACGAAUGCUAAUACCGCAUAACAACUUUAAACACAAGUUUUAAGUUUGAAAGAUGCAAUUGCAUCACUCAAAGAUGAUCCCGCGUUGUAUUAGCUAGUUGGUGAGGUAAAGGCUCACCAAGGCGAUGAUACAUAGCCGACCUGAGAGGGUGAUCGGCCACAUUGGGACUGAGACACGGCCCAAACUCCUACGGGAGGCAGCAGUAGGGAAUCUUCGGCAAUGGACGAAAGUCUGACCGAGCAACGCCGCGUGAGUGAAGAAGGUUUUCGGAUCGUAAAACUCUGUUGGUAGAGAAGAACGUUGGUGAGAGUGGAAAGCUCAUCAAGUGACGGUAACUACCCAGAAAGGGACGGCUAACUACGUGCCAGCAGCCGCGGUAAUACGUAGGUCCCGAGCGUUGUCCGGAUUUAUUGGGCGUAAAGCGAGCGCAGGUGGUUUAUUAAGUCUGGUGUAAAAGGCAGUGGCUCAACCAUUGUAUGCAUUGGAAACUGGUAGACUUGAGUGCAGGAGAGGAGAGUGGAAUUCCAUGUGUAGCGGUGAAAUGCGUAGAUAUAUGGAGGAACACCGGUGGCGAAAGCGGCUCUCUGGCCUGUAACUGACACUGAGGCUCGAAAGCGUGGGGAGCAAACAGGAUUAGAUACCCUGGUA
rnacentral:rRNA from 1 species